rnacentral:rRNA from 1 species
UAGGGAAUAUUGGGCAAUGGAUGAGAGUCUGACCCAGCCAUGCCGCGUGCCGGAAGAAGGCCCUCAGGGUUGUAAACGGCUUUUAUCCGGGAAGAAGAGCAGGGAUGCGUCCCUGUGUGACGGUACCGGAUGAAUAAGCACCGGCUAACUCCGUGCCAGCAGCCGCGGUAAUACGGAGGGUGCAAGCGUUGUCCGGAUUUAUUGGGUUUAAAGGGUGCGUAGGUGGCCUGGUAAGUCAGUGGUGAAAUACAGCCGCUCAACGGUUGAGGUGCCAUUGAUACUGCCCGGCUUGAAGCAGACAGAGGCUGCCGGAAUGGAUGGUGUAGCGGUGAAAUGCAUAGAUAUCAUCCAGAACACCGAUUGCGAAGGCAGGUGGCUAUGUCUGACUUGACACUGAGGCACGAAAGCAUGGGGAGCAAACAGG